rnacentral:rRNA from 1 species
UACGUAGGGGGCAAGCGUUGUCCGGAUUUAUUGGGCGUAAAGAGCUCGUAGGCGGUCUGUCGCGUCUGCUGUGAAAACCUAGGGCUUAACUCUGGGCGUGCAGUGGGUACGGGCAGGCUAGAGUGCGGUAGGGGAGACUGGAAUUCCUGGUGUAGCGGUGAAAUGCGCAGAUAUCAGGAGGAACACCGGUGGCGAAGGCGGGUCUCUGGGCCGGAACUGACGCUGAGGAGCGAAAGCGUGGGGAGCGAACAGG